rnacentral:rRNA from 1 species
GCAAGUCGAGCGGAAACGAAAGUAGCUUGCUACUAGGCGGCGAGCGGCGGACGGGUGAGUAAUGCAUAGGAAUCUACCGAGUAGUGGGGGAUAGACAGUGGAAACGAGGAAUAAUACCGAUAUAUCCUACGGGGGAAAGCAGGGGACCUUCGGGCCUUGCGCUAUUCGAUGAGCCUGAGUGAGAUUAGCUAGUUGGUGGGGUAAAGGCCUACCAAGGCGACGAUCUCUAGCUGGUCUGAGAGGAUGAUC